rfam:Oikopleura dioica, whole genome shotgun assembly, reference scaffold set, scaffold scaffold_9
AAACCGGCCCUUUUCAGGGCCACAAAAUUCAACAGAUUAGCUUCUU